rnacentral:rRNA from 1 species
CGGGUGAGUAAUACAUCGGAACGUGUCUUCUAGUGGGGGAUAACUGCCCGAAAGGGCAGCUAAUACCGCAUGAGACCUGAGGGUGAAAGCGGGGGAUCGCAAGACCUCGCGCUGGAAGAGCGGCCGAUGUCCGAUUAGCUAGUUGGUGAGGUAAAGGCUCACCAAGGCGACGAUCGGUAGCUGGUCUGAGAGGACGACCAGCCACACUGGGACUGAGACCCGGCCCAG